rnacentral:lncRNA from 1 species
AUGGUGAUGUGGCUCUUCAGGGAUCCCAGUCCCAGCGCCUGUCACCACGGCACGUGGCCUGCCCACCCUCCAGCCAGCCAGCCGUCUCCUCCAUCCACCCGCCCUCCACCUGACCCGGGCCUCGUCCCUCGUGCCGUCCAUCCUCCCAGGGUUGCAGGCCCCAGACAUCUCAGACGCUGCGAUGCCCUUGCGCCUCGGCCUCUCUCCGGGUUGGCCUGGGGACCCAGUCCAGGUGACCCCUGCCCUGGCCCCUCCCUCCUCUUACACUUGGCCCUGACCCCGCAGCGUCACCCACUCCGUGCACACCCUAGUGCAGGCCCCAGGUCAGGGGCUCUGCAGGGUCUCAAGGGCUCUGUGCAGGGGAGGACCCAGCCCCUGAGGGGCACGUGCGGUGGGUGUGCCUCGGGGACACAACUCGUCUUCUCGGCAGCCUCAGGAAGAAGACUCAUCUGUUCCCUGAACCUCCCUGGGAAAGCCCUGUGGGCGCUGAGCCUGCACACACGACCCACGGUCCACACCAGAGGCCACAUCUGCCUGCUGCUGGAGGGGACAGUGGGGACAGUUUGCAGGGACGGAGCUACUUACAGAGCCGUCUUCCUGGGAGAAGUCCAUCCUGGGACCUAAGGAUCCUGAGCUGGAGGAGGCACUAGCCCAGACUCCCAGAGCGCCCCAGGCAGCCACAAAGGCACUGGGGUAGCUGAGCAGCAGCCGCGCCAUGGGCUGAGCAGGGCCUCUGGUGUGCGUGUGCUCACGUCAACCUCGAAGCCAUGCAUAGGGUAAUAUUGUUUUGUUUCGCUUUGUUUGCAGUUUGGGGGAUUGAACCCAGGGCCUCAGGAAGGCUAGGCAAGCACUUACUGUUGACCGUACCCAGCUCUUUUAUUUAAAAAAUUAUUUAUAUUUCGGUACCAAGGAUUGAACCCAGGGGCGCUCAACCACAGAGCCACAUCCCCUGCCCUUUCUUUCUUUUUAUUUAGAGAUAGGAUCUCACUAAAUUACUAAGGCUGGCCUUGAACUUGUGAUCCUCUUGCCUCAGCCUCCUGAGCUGCUGGGAUUACAGGUGUGUGCCACCAGGUUUGACUUAAAGGGUAAUAGUU